GAUGCCAUCCAGGCGCACGGCGGGUAUAGUGGUUCCGCAACCUUGGGAUGUUCGGCCGAGCGCCUGCCUAACCCUCCUGACUGGAGGGUCAGCGGCGGGGAGUCCUGGCCUUCAAUCGGCCAUCGCCACGGCAGAAACUGGGGCCCGGGCCUUCCCCGUCCGUCCACAGGUCUCAUGGGCGCCCGGACUGGGGCUGAUGUAGUUUCCCGACCUCUGACACAUAGAAUCUGGAGAUUAAAGCUGCUCUGCUAAUAAUUAGGUUCCCACCUCUCAAGAUCAUUAGGAGCUUCUUUUCCAAUUUCUCUGUUUUGCAUGCAUUGGAAGGCCCCUGGAUCCUCCUGGAAUCCGUGAUCCCUGUUGCUCCCUGGCGGAGUUUUCUAGUCCCUCUUACUUGAAGCAUGUCUUUCAGAGCCCGGCACCACCCAAGUUGGGUAUCUGCUCCUGCUGUCUUCCAUGCUGGGGACAGGAAAGGCUCCACGCUUGACUUUCCCUCCUGUUUUCUUAUCUGCUGUCAACCCCUGA
rnacentral:lncRNA from 1 species